AUUGAACGCUGGCGGCAGGCCUAACACAUGCAAGUCGAACGGUAACAGGAAACAGCUUGCUGUUUCGCUGACGAGUGGCGGACGGGUGAGUAAUGUCUGGGAAACUGCCUGAUGGAGGGGGAUAACUACUGGAAACGGUAGCUAAUACCGCAUAACGUCGCAAGACCAAAGAGGGGGACCUUCGGGCCUCUUGCCAUCGGAUGUGCCCAGAUGGGAUUAGCUAGUAGGUGGGGUAACGGCUCACCUAGGCGACGAUCCCUAGCUGGUCUGAGAGGAUGACCAGCCACACUGGACCUGAGACACGGUCCAGACUCCUACGGGAGGCAGCAGUGGGGAAUAUUGCACAAUGGGCGCAAGCCUGAUGCAGCCAUGCCGCGUGUAUGAAGAAGGCCUUCGGGUUGUAAAGUACUUUCAGCGGGGAGGAAGGGAGUAAAGUUAAUACCUUUGCUCAUUGACGUUACCCGCAGAAGAAGCACCGGCUAACUCCGU
rnacentral:rRNA from 1 species